UGUCGUCAGCUCGUGUCGUGAGAUGUUGGGUUAAGUCCCGUAACGAGCGCAACCCUUGUCCUUAGUUACCAGCACGUAAUGGUGGGCACUCUAAGGAGACUGCCGGUGACAAACCGGAGGAAGGUGGGGAUGACGUCAAGUCAUCAUGGCCCUUACGGCCUGGGCUACACACGUGCUACAAUGGUCGGUACAGAGGGUUGCCAAGCCGCGAGGUGGAGCUAAUCCCACAAAACCGAUCGUAGUCCGGAUCGCAGUCUGCAACUCGACUGCGUGAAGUCGGAAUCGCUAGUAAUCGCGAAUCAGAAUGUCGCGGUGAAUACGUUCCCGGGCCUUGUACACACCGCCCGUCACACCAUGGGAGUGGGUUGCACCAGAAGUAGCUAGUCUAACCUUCGGGAGGACGGUUACCACGGUGUGAUUCAUGACUGGGGUGAAGUCGUAACAAGGUAGCCGUAGGGGAACCUGCGGCUGGAUCACCUCCUUAA
rnacentral:rRNA from 1 species